rnacentral:snRNA from 1 species
GGAUGCCCUCAGCGACAUCUGUCACCCCAUCGAUCACCAGAGUUGAUUCGGCUGACCUGGCUGGCUAGGCGAGGGUCCCAUUCCUCCCUCACAGCUCCAUGUGCAUCCCUCCUGAAGCUGCGCGCUCGGUCAAAGAGGACAGCCACCCCCGAGAGAGGAGGACCGUUCUUGUAGGUCAAGGGUAUACGAGUAGCUGCGCUCCCCUGCUGGAACCUCCAAACAAGCUCUCAAGGGUGCCUCAGCAGAGUUUUCAUUAUCAAGUGGACAGACUAAUAACCAAAUGGCGGUCUCUUU